CACCCCAAGAUACGUCUCUUUGGCAUCAGGAUUAUUUGAGGCUGAUUGCUUUUGAUAAACUGGGACAGGGAAGGAGGCUCUGAGGAAUGGAACUUGCCCUUCCUUAGGACGUAUUUACAUUUGUAAGGUAAAUCUCUAUCUGUAAAAGGCGCCUCCCUCUCUGUACCAGGAAGAAGAAAGGAGAUGACCUUCUCUCCAAAAACUCUUAAUCAAUACCAAAGGCAAGGACUUAAAUCUGCAUUUUAUUGUGCUAGUCUGGUAACCUCCUGUAACUGACUUCCCUCCUCCUCCCAACUUUGGCAUUUCUUUAAGGAUUAAGCAUCUUUCUUUAGGCUAGGAACUGAUUGCUGAGCUCACCUGUGACCGCCCAGCUUCAGACAAUCGACUUGCCUCCUGCUACGCCCACAGAGAUAGCUCACCCAGACUUACCACUGCUUGCUGUGUCCAUCAAGCACUGUGCUGACGGGGCAAUCUUGUGACUAUUGUGGGAGGGACAUUUCAAUCACAUGUGAAACACCCCGUUUGGGGGUAUAUAACCACUCUGUGCACCCCAUUUCUUCAGUGCCCUUUCUUCCUUCAGGAAGAAAGGCCCCGGGCCAUGGUUCCUCAUAAAGCUUUGUUUAAUUUUCUCUUGCUAUUCUGUCUCACGUGAAUUUAAUUCGUUCUCCAGCCAGACGAACCCACAUUUGGGGAGAGGAAAUGUCCUCCUCCCCUACAGUUUUGGCAUAGUCAGCAGGAUGAAAUUUCCCUGGCUGGACAUUGCUUGCUCCUGGACUGCUGCGGCCGAGAGAUCCUGGACCCCUGACGGGAGCCGGCAAGAGGUAAGAGUUCUUACCACGUCAGUCUCCCGGAUCUCUGACUGCAGGCUCCAAUGGAAGAAAGAGUGGACACAUUGGUUAUCUUGCCAAAGCUUUGACUGCAAUGUCAUAUUUGAGAGGAACAUACAGACUCGGAUAUGACAAUACUGCCUUUGAGGAAUAAGGUUGACUUUCUGGAAAUAAGCCACUUGGAAAUAUGGGCCUGGUACCUUGUUUACAGAGAUUCUGGCAAUCUUACCUGGUAAGCAAGGAAGCUUGAUUAUCUGUCAGAUGUAAGGAACCUCGGAAUAUUUUGGGGGACCUCAAGAAGAGAGGAGUCCACCCAAAUCUGUAGGUACUGCAGGCAAAACCUGACAGCAAGUCCUUGGCUUGGCUUUUCUGGCCUCGAGAGGCCUUUACAGUUCAAUCUGAGAUUCCUCAUAAAAAAAUUCCAGCAAAGCAAAUUUAAGAGCCUAUAUGAUCAACUGCUAUUCUUGCUGCACUUCUGUAAAUAAUUGGGCCAAGUUUCUUGAAACUAAACUUAUUUUGCAAACCAAUUAGUCUUAAUUUUGCUAUCUUUGGUAAAAAAAUGAGGGUGAUUUUAGAGAGAAGAACUAUGUUUCAGUGAAAAACUAUAAUACACAUUUGUGUAUGUUGGAUCCUAGUUUUGUUAAUUGUCUUUGAGUUUUUUUUUUCUACCUGUGAACUGGAUUGGAUCCUGAAUUAUUCUACUGAAAUAUCUGGUUACAAAUCUCCAAACUAAUGUUUUCAAUUUUUUUACCUCAUUUUCAUUUGGAAUCAUUGAGAAUUGAACCUGCUCUUUUUCCUGAAGCCUUGCAAACUGAAGCUGAACGGCUUGAUAGAAACUUGAGAGAUUCCUGUCUGUUGCUGUGUAAGCUGUAAGCCACUCAGAAAGAUACCUGAAUGCCCGAUGACAUCACCAGAGACAUUUCAAGCUGCUAAAGAUGCUUCACUCUGACAUCUAGAAGUCUUCUUGACUGACUGCAUGCUGGACUCGGGAACUAGUUUAUAAUUUGCUCC
ensembl:lncRNA